GACGAACGCUGGCGGCGUGCUUAACACAUGCAAGUCGAACGGAAAGGCCUAGCUUGCUGGGUACUCGAGUGGCGAACGGGUGAGUAACACGUGGGUGAUCUGCCCCUGACUUUGGGAUAAGCCUGGGAAACUGGGUCUAAUACCGGAUAUUCAUUUUUCCUCGCAGGGGGAUUUGUGGAAAGCUGUUGCGGUUGGGGAUGGGCCCGCGGCCUAUCGGCUUGUUGGUGGGGUAAUGGCCUACCAAGGCGACGCCGGGUAGCCGACCUGAGAGGGUGAUCGGCCACACUGGGCCUGAGACACGGCCCAGACUCCUACGGGAGGCAGCAGUGGGGAAUAUUGCACAAUGGGCGCAAGCCUGAUGCAGCGACGCCGCGUGAGGGAUGACGGCCUUCGGGUUGUAAACCUCUUUCAGCUCCGACGAAGCGCAAGUGACGGUAGGAGCAGAAGAAGCACCGGCCAACUACGUG
rnacentral:rRNA from 1 species